AGUAAUGCUUGGGAAUCUAGCUUAUGGAGGGGGAUAACUACGGGAGACUGUAGCUAAUACCGCGUAGUAUCGGAAGAUGAAAGUGUGGGACCUUCGGGCCACAUGCCAUAGGAUGAGCCCAAGUGGGAUUAGGUAGUUGGUGAGGUAAAGGCUCACCAAGCCGACGAUCUCUAGCUGGUCUGAGAGGAUGACCAGCCACACUGGGACUGAGACACGGCCCAG
rnacentral:rRNA from 1 species